UUUUUUUUUUUUUUAAUCAAAGUUUGUUUCAUUUUAUGAUUAGAAAAUUCAAUUGAUCAGUGAGACCAUCCUUACACUACCAGGAACACCUCCCCCCGGAUUGUGACAAGGACAACACGGCAAGGCCCAUCGAUAAAUAUCUUCAGUCCCUUUAUGGCGAUCUUGAGGCACGUACACGCACGAGCGUGCAUUGCGAAAGAGGGAUGUCGAUAUAUCUUUCUGUCCUUACUACCACAAAAAGCCAUGGUACAUUCACACCAGGUAUCGUAGCGUAUUUAUUAUUCCGCUGGUAAGUACAGCUGUUGUUAUCUGGCAGCCUUAUUUGGCGCGGUUAUUCGACACGCCUCGUGGUGCUUUGUGCGCCGUGCCGCUAAGAUAUACUCUCUCAUUGUAUGCAUAUUACUCACUUUUCAUUUGCCUUCUUAACGAGCGAGAUUAAGCACGGCGUGUGUGUCACUUUUUAAAUUAACGCGAUCUCCGUGCGGGCUGUUGCAAAAUCACGGUCCGCCGGACAGUCUAAUUGGAAUAGCGCGCUAAUUAAAGAUGUUCGUUCGGCCACAGGUUUAAGGUCGUCGUUCAAUUAUAACAGUCGAGCACUAAUAACAGGUUGAAGAAGCUAUUUGUUUUAUGUAUCGAAAUGUUCGAUAGACAAAAGAGUACGUUCCCUGCAAUUUUUAUGCAUUUCUGGGAGAUUUAAACGUGUGAAAACUCAUAGAAUGCAGGUGGUAAUCAAAAACGUACAAAAUGUGUAAAUAUCUUUUCAAUUCUGUUCAUAGAAAAGUUAUAAACAUCUGCAGUCUACUUGUUCCAAUAUCUGGUAGAAAAAAACAGAUUUAAAAUAUUUUUAAUUAGGUUGAUAAAACUCCAUAAAUAUCUGUGUACUUUAUUCAUAUUAUCUUAGAAUUACUUUAGAAGAGAUUAAUAUUUUUAGCUACUCUAAAUUAAAAUGAAAUACGUACUCCAUAGUCAGAUUCAACCUGCAGAAAUAUUUAUUUUUCUCGUUUGAUUUCAUAUUUAAAAAAGUCAUGCAACUUCUUGACCUCUGUUCAUUUGUCUAUUAAACUUCGUAAUUAAAGGCUGAUGGAUUCUUGCAACAGUUUCAUGAUGUUUUAAUUAAUAAGCUGAGUAAUAAAAAAAAAAAUCGCCUUAUUUGCAUAACAUAAUAUAUGAAUAACAUAUGGUCAUAAUAUAUGAAAAUUUAAUUAAGUCUACGAUCGUCUGGUCUGAGUGUUCGUUAGUUGUCAAUUAUUAGUAAUGUCUAGUUGAUCGAUUAUCGUUUGAGAGAACAUUGUUCAAAUUCAGAAAUUUCGUCUUUUACAAAUAUUUCACAACUCUUUCUGUCAAACAAAAGAGGAAAGAAUGAGCUUUCAACAUAAUUAGUAUUAUAAGCUGAAACAUUGAUAAUCAAGACAGCUUCAAGAUAUAUUAACCCUGGUGUUCUUCUCAUUUCAGACAUCUCCUUUUCAAAUUUGAAAAUGCUUGAAGAUAAUGGUGAAAAGUGUAAAAUAUAUAAAAAAUAGAAUUUAUAUAUUUAAGAACUAUCUACAAUAGCUUCUGUCAUAUUUGGAUAUUUCAUAGAAUUUAAUCUUUCAAAAUUUAUUGUUGAAAAAUGUACAGAUGGUUAAUUAUGUAUUAGAAACUGGUUAUUGGAAAUUUCAUCAGAGGCGAAUAUGUCCCACACGCCACGAUCCGAGGAGAACUGCAGGGCUAAACAUUCACUGUAUCAGAGUCAACUGAAUUUCCUCUGAAUUUACUUGAACUUCGGACCAGCGACGAACAAAUUACAAUGAAUUUACCACUGGCACGGUGUCCUCCUCCUCCUGAACCACCAAUUGAAAGUCUGGCUUCAUGGUAAUUAACGUGCGACCGCCUCAUUAGUCACUGUCAUCUAACCCGCUUCGUAUACACAUUAUAUGCGUAACAUGCUUCUGAAUUAUCGCUUAUCAACGGUGUAGCUGGUCGGUUUGAUUAUCGUUCGAGGAGCGUGCGCGACAACGCGUUAAAUCGUUUAUUUUAUCAAUUCCCAAGGCUUAUUUCCGUGUCGCAAUGAUGCUCGAUAAUCAAGUUGUACGUCAGUUUUGCAAUUUUUAAUAUGACGGCCUUUUUAUCAGAGACUAACGAAGCCGCGAGGUAGUGUUACGCUUCUCUGGACGAUCCACGAGGAUAAAAGACGCGAAAAAUGACGGACGUGCGCGUCUGUCGACCAGACCUAAGAUUAGUUAUGCAUUUAUGACAGGUGCAGUAUGAAAAUAUAUGCCAGGAUAUGUACAAAUGCAAUAUUAUAGGAAAUAAGACGUUAUAUCAUUUUUGAAGUUGAA